rnacentral:lncRNA from 1 species
UAACUCAAAUCACACAGGUCCAAAUGCAAGAACAAUUAUUCAGUAAAGCAGAUAACAAGAAAUCAAGCAGUAAAAGUAGGGUUUGAAGAAUUAAACCAUAGUAGUGGUCGUUUCACAUGACCACACACGAAUUUCAUCAAGGUACGAGUCCACAAUACCCAAGAUCGAACAAAUCCAAUCACCGUAGGCAAUUUUCACC